GAUGAACGCUGGCGGCGUGCCUAAUACAUGCAAGUCGAGCGAACGGACGAGAAGCUUGCUUCUCUGAUGUUAGCGGCGGACGGGUGAGUAACACGUGGAUAACCUACCUAUAAGACUGGGAUAACUUCGGGAAACCGGAGCUAAUACCGGAUAAUAUUUUGAACCGCAUGGUUCAAAAGUGAAAGACGGUCUUGCUGUCACUUAGAUGGAUCCGCGCUGCAUUAGCUAGUUGGUAAGGUAACGGCUUACCAAGGCAACGAUGCAUAGCCGACCUGAGAGGGUGAUCGGCCACUGGAACUGAGACACGGUCCAGACUCCUACGGGAGGCAGCAGUAGGGAAUCUUCCGCAAUGGGCGAAAGCCUGACGGAGCAACGCCGCGUGAGUGAUGAAGGUCUUCGGAUCGUAAAACUCUGUUAUUAGGGAAGAACAUAUGUGUAAGUAACUGUGCACAUCUUGACGGUACCUAAUCAGAAAGCCACGGCUAACUACGUG
rnacentral:rRNA from 1 species